UCUCCCUGGGCUCCUCUGCUGCCCUCCGCCUCUGAGGGUCUUAGGAUCACUGGCAGCUUUGCGAUGGGAUCUGAGGCAGUCACACUAACAGAUUCUGGCUCCCCAAGAACAGCCGUUCGGGGGUUCAAAGGCCGGCCCACGAAGCGAGCCCUCACCAUGGAACACCCCCAAGAGCUUUUCUCAAGCGACGGAGGGGACAAAAGCUUUGAGGGCCACUUUUCCAUACUGAGCAACAGCCUCCAGGGGUGGAUCACUAAUGCCGACAAUGCAGGCCCUAACAUCAUCGGGCGCAUUUCACAGAUUAGGUAAGUCUGCCCAGGGUGACACAGCAGCUAAGUCUCAGAGGGGGCCGUAGAAGCACCAGGCCCUCAUUGCUUCUCACAGGGUCAUUGCGAGGCCUCUCACGGAGCUCCUCCCUCGCCUCGCUGACAAAGCCGCCUUCCUCAAACCUGGACCGGUCACUGGGUUCCCUGCUCUCCCAACUGCAGGCCCUCUGGGUCACCUCAGACAUCAAACCGAAAGCCCCAGACCUCGCUGUGAGGAUGCCCUGUCAUCUCUGCCCUUUGACUGCAGGCGAGCAGUUGUGGCCACAUCACCCUCCACACAGCGGCUUUGAGGACAGUGGCCUGAACUCUUCUCCAGGCUAAAUAUACCCAGUGCUUCUGCCCUCCCCAGCCCAGCCACCGCCUCAGGACCCGCAAAGGAAGCUGUCACAUCAAGCUCAUACUUUGUGCACGUGGGCAUUUGUCUUCCCCUGGGGGGCAGGCACUGGUUUUAUCCUCUGCUUACUACAGGCUCCCAAACAGAACAAGUCAUUGGCUUCUGAAGGAAAAGAAGAUAAACUUAAUGAGGGUAGUAACUGCCUGGCACAUAGUGGGCACUCCAUAAAUGCUUACUGAUUGGCUG